rnacentral:rRNA from 1 species
UGGGGAAUAUUGGGCAAUGGGCGAAAGCCUGACCCAGCAACGCCGCGUGAAGGAAGAAGGUCUUCGGAUUGUAAACUUCUUUUAUGAGGGACGAAGGAAGUGACGGUACCUCAUGAAUAAGCCACGGCUAACUACGUGCC